rnacentral:rRNA from 1 species
UACGUAGGGUGCGAGCGUUAAUCGGAAUUACUGGGCGUAAAGCGUGCGCAGGCGGUUCGUUGUGUCGGUGGUGAAAGCCCCGGGCUCAACCUGGGAAUGGCCAUGGAAACUGGCGAACUGGAGUGUGGCAGAGGGGGGUGGAAUUCCGCGUGUAGCAGUGAAAUGCGUAGAGAUGCGGAGGAACACCGAUGGCGAAGGCAGCCCCCUGGGUCAAGAUUGACGCUCAUGCACGAAAGCGUGGGGAGCAAACAGG